GUCCACGCCCUAAACGAUGAUGACUAGUUGUUGGAGGAGUUAAAUCCUUUAGUAACGCAGCUAACGCGAGAAGUCAUCCGCCUGGGGAGUACGGUCGCAAGAUUAAACUCAAGGAAUUGACGGGGCCCGCACAAGCGGUGGAUGAUGUGGUUCAAUUCGACGCAACGCGAAACCUUACCUACCCUUGACAUGUACGGAAUCCUGCAGAGAUGCAGGAGUGCCCGAAAGGGAGCCGUAACACAGGUGCUGCAUGGCUGUCGU
rnacentral:rRNA from 1 species